rnacentral:lncRNA from 1 species
CCCGGAUGCUGGCUGGGGAUCACCCGGAUGCUGGCUGGGGAUUACCCGGAUGCUGGCUGGGGAUCACCCGGAUGCUGGCUGGGGAUCACCCGGAUGCUGGCUGGGGCUCAUCGCUGCACACGGGCCUCCAUGAACACGCGUCAGAAUCAGGCAGCCUCCGGCCUGCUGCGCACGUCGUUCCUGCACACCGAGGCUGCUGUGGGUCCAGCUUCCCCAGAGACCCCAGCCCUGGGCUCCGCCAGCACCACCCACCCCGCUCCAGCCCAGGGAUGGAGCCGCCGCCUUCUCUCCUGGCCUCUGAGUUGCCUCCCAGCCCCCAUCUGACUUCUCAGCUCUCCCGUCCCCUCCGUAACCCACUCCCUGCCUCAGUCUCCUGUGUGGUAAAUACACGAGUUCUCCAGUGAGGCCCCAACUGCUGCAUCCUUGGAUUAAUUUAAGGAUCCAAGGACAGAGGCCAGAGAAGCCUGCAUGGACCUGGGUAUCAGACGCAGAAGUAAUGGAGCAUUAGUCACCUUAGUCACCACGUUCUCAGUCAGCGAGGUCAGGUGCACGUCCAGACCUGAUGGACGCUCCUUCACAGGGACCUCCGGUGCGCAAACAGGACUCCAUGGAGAGCAGCUCGGGGGCAAGGACAGGCUUCUCUAAAGCAUGGUGAGGCACCACUGUCACUGAGGAUGCACGGUCCUCUCCUUGCCCUGGAAGCAGAGAACGGGAAUGUGCAGCCACAGAAUGUGGAGUGGUAAUUCCAGUCGGCAGAAAGACUCUGCUCCAUGCGGU